rnacentral:rRNA from 1 species
GCGCUUAGAAGUGAGAAUGCCGGUAUGAGUAGCGAAAGAGGGGUGAGAAUCCCCUCCACCGAAUGCCUAAGGUUUCCUGAGGAAGGCUCGUCCGCUCAGGGUUAGUCGGGACCUAAGCCGAGGCCGAAAGGCGUAGGCGAUGGACAACAGGUUGAUAUUCCUGUACCACCUCCUCACCAUUUGAGCAAUGGGGGGACGCAGGAGGAUAGGGUAAGCGCGGUAUUGGAUAUCCGCGUCCAAGCAGUUAG